UGACGAGGUUUGUGACUGAGCGGCGGACGGGUGAGUAACGCGUGGGCAACCUGCCUCACACAGGGGGAUAACAGACGGAAACGACUGCUAAUACCGAAUAAGUUCCAAGGGCCGCAUGGCCCAUGGAAGAAAAGGUGGCCUCUACCUGUAAGCUAUCGCCUGAAGAGGGGUUUGCGUCUGAUUAGCUGGUUGGAGGGGUAACGGCCCACCAAGGCGACGAUCAGUAGCCGGUCUGAGAGGAUGAACGGCCACACUGGAACUGAGACACGGUCCAAACUCC
rnacentral:rRNA from 1 species